GUUUUAAUCGCAGUUUUAAUUUACGCAUUUUCGCUAAAAUUAGGAAAAUUCUCAAAACUUGUUUAGCAUUUCGAGUCAACAUUUUGUACUGCCAAAUGAAACUUUAUGAAAACCAACGAAUCUGGUGGCCGGAACGAUAAAAAGCAAGUUGAAUAUUACGCCUUAUAAACACGGGUGGAAGUGGCAAAGCCAAAUGAAACUUUAUGAAAACCAACGAAUCUGGUGGCCGGAACGAUAAAAAGCAAGUUGAAUAUUACGCCUUAUAAACACGGGUGGAAGUGGCGCAGCCAAAUGCAACUUCUCGAAAACCAAAGAAUCUGG